UAAAAUAUGUGUAGUUGUGGU
rnacentral:siRNA from 1 species